rnacentral:rRNA from 1 species
UACGGGGGGGGCAAGCGUUGUUCGGAAUUACUGGGCGUAAAGGGCUCGUAGGCGGCCAACUAAGUCGGACGUGAAAUCCCUCGGCUUAACCGGGGAACUGCGUCCGAUACUGGAUGGCUUGAGUUUGGGAGAGGGAUGCGGAAUUCCAGGUGUAGCGGUGAAAUGCGUAGAUAUUCGCAAGAACACCUGUGGCGAAAGCGGCUCACUGGACCACAACUGACGCUGAGGCGCGAAAGCUAGGGGAGCAAACAGG